UCAUGAACAGUGAGAUCAUGACCUGAGCUGAAGUCAGAUGCUGAACCGACUGAGCCACCCAGACAAGGAGAGGAGAUUGAGAGGAGCCAAGAGUGGAGCACAGAUGCCAACGGGUGCCAAGAAGAAGCACCGGCACCCUGUCUCCUACGGGGCAAAACCAAGGGAGGUCAUUGCAAUAUCUGGAUUUACUUAGAUGAAUGUCAAGUUUGGAAUAGCACCCAGCCAAUAGGACGCCUGGGUAACAAGGACUGAGUGUGUAUGUCUAAGAGGAGAGAGUUUGGAGAACAGAUCAUCAGCCACAAAGCACUCAACCCUGAUCUCCCAUUAUGAAAAUGAACAACAAAUGUUUGUUAAAUGCCUGCUAUGUGUGGGAAUAGUCGUUUUCCUAGACUAGCGACAUCAGCAUCACCUGAGAGCUUGUUAGAAAUUCAAAUAGGAAGCUUUGGGAUUGGAGCCCAGCAAUCCGUGUUUUAACAAGCCCUCCAGGAGAUUCCCAUACAUAUUAAAGGUGUCAUUUAGAACUGGAAUUUCACUGGGUAAUGGUGAGGUGGGGACUGGGCUGGGCAUCCUGUGGGCAGCAUGGGGUAGUGGCUGAGCACAGAGCUCAUUCCUCUGACUCCUUAGGGGGUGCACCUCUCGCCACCUCAGGACUUGCAUUUGGGGAGAAGAAUCAUUCUUCUCUGGGAGUCAGAUCUCAUUCCAGAUAAAAUGCUCAAAUGGGAGAUAUUCCAAUUUGUGGUUAAUACUGUGUGCCGGGAAAACAAAGCUGUUCUCUAUUGCUGUCAUGACAUUCGCUUAUGGAGCAGGAGGAGGGACCUAAGAAGGAGGGAAAGGGGACAAGAGAGCCUGAAAAAGAUUUGAUCCCUACCAUUACCACGUCUCCUUUCCACUACCCUGUCCCACAACUCUUUCCCCAUUUGCCUCUUGACCUCCCUGGGUCCGGCAUGCUCUCCAAUGAAUUUUGGGAGAGCUGAAACAGUGAAGGGGAGCUAUGUACUAGAGAUGGUGUAGAGAGGGAGGAUGCCCCAGGCCAGUCCCUGCCUCACCCUUUAACCAACAAGAUUCUGAUUCCAAGGGCAAGUUGCACCUUCACUAACCAGAGCUAUAACAGUAUUCAACCCCACUUCCUUCUGCUUUUUUUGUGGGGGGGUGGUGCGGAAAGCAAUUCCUGGAAAUAGAACUUGUCUUUCACUUCAACAGGAUGUAACUCUGAUGUACAUUCCAAUGUCAGCUGUUGGUGACCCAGCCCUCAAUAGGAAGGCCAGCCCAUCCCUACACUAGUCCUUGGCUGAGAGUGCCUGACUGCUUCCCAACUUCCUGAGGGGCACAGAGCUUGUCACUCCUCCGCACACAGUCUCAGUAGUCAGAUUUAGGGACCAGUCAUGCUUGGAAUCAGUAUUCCCAGCAAGAAAGCUUUCCUUUUGGAAAUUUUUGAUCUUUGCAUCAUCAAAGAGACUGGGAGAGAGCAGUCUUUAAUUUUUACUUAUGGCUUGAAAUUAAUAUGUAAAUAUAUGAAAGAGGGGAAACUGAGUGGACUCAGUCACUAGACAUCUGAGUCUUUAUUUCAAAAUCAAUUUUUUUGCAAGAUGACUACUCAGCUACAUACAUUGAAAGAGACUAGUGACCGAAGGACAGAAGACAGAAGGGUUGGUUUAUCUGGGUUCCAUAUAAUCCAUAUGCAAGGAGAUAGAUUUGUCUAACACUGAAAAAACCUCAACUAAAUCAUUUUAAAGCAAAUACUAGCAACAUUGCUUGAAUCUUCGAUUAACUAGAGGGGUUUAACUAUCCCCAAAGAACUAUCAGGCAUUUAUCCAGUGGACUGUGGAUAAACCUACAGUUUGUUUUUUGAGACCGGGGAGGGGGGGAUUGAGGGUUAGAAGUAAAUUGGUGUUUUAAAAAGUCCCUAAUAUUCCUUAAUCCUCAAUUCCAUUUUUCUGGGUUUCUUUGUACAGCAUAUCUAUAUAGGGUAUCUUUGUUAAAAUUCUGGUGUUUCUUUGGUUACUAGAGUUGCAAUUUUUCUCCGAAGCCUCUAUUGACAUAUGAACUUACUGACAGAACUUACUGUUCAGAAUCAUAGAACUGUUUAUAACUAAAAGGGACUUCGAAGAUUAUAGUCCAACUUCUGUUAUCUUACAAACAAGGAAACCAAGUCCAGAAAGUUUGAGUGACUUGCCCAAGGUCACAGAACUAGAUGCUAGAGCUGAGACAAGAAUUCUGGCCUUUUUUUUUUCUUCUUUUUUUAAAGUAAGUGCUGUGCCCAAUGUGGGGUUUGAACUCACAACCUCAAGAUCAAGAGUUGCAUGCUCUACAGACUGAGCCAGCCAGGCACCCCAAGAAUUCAAACUUCUUAACUCACAGUCAAGGACUGAGUACAUCACUCUGUUACUUUGCUAGUUUGUUUUUGUUUGUUUGUUUGUUUGUUUUAAUACCCGAAAUUCUUUACCCUCUUGAGAUUCCUGGAGCAUUUUGCCAGUAUGGUGUGAAUAUCAGGCUUUUUCUUAAGCAAGGAGGAUUUGAUAUUAUCAAAGAACACCUACAUGGGGAACUGCUCCCAAGGGUAGACACAGAUUAGAUGAACAUUUGGAAAGCUGGAGAGAAAGGUGACACAUUGCAGGCUUUAGGCUGCCAUUAGGACUAAGUGUUCAGAUGGUAUUCUGAUUUCUCUUUAAGAGCAAGAGAUCUGAUUCCUCUUCCAUUCUUUCAACAGACCCAGAGACCAGUCUUAAUUAACAUAAAUAUCUUGGAUUUUUGAGAAUGAGGAGGGUUUAAAUUUAAUAUAUUUCCAAAAAUUAAAUGAACUGAAGGGGGAACAUUAAUGGAAUCCUCAAUUAAACUUGAAAAAAAUCACCUACAAACACAUAGUCAUUUUGGCUACUAACCGCUUGGAUCCUCUUGAAAUGCACUGAGCUAGUUAUUUCUCUGAAGUAGUCUGUAUUAGCAUGCACCUAGAGAAAGGUUCAGAGGUUUACGUUUUUGGGGUUUUUUUUUUUCUUUCUUUUUUUGGCACGGUAAAAUCUUUUUCAAAAAGAUUUUCUAUGAUACAGAUUUUUUUUAAUACUUCAGGUCAAUUCAUGUUCCCUUUGUAUAUGGUGAUUCAUGGUAAGAUAAAUAAACCACCACUGAAAUUUGAAAAGAAGCUACUUAAGGAAGAUCUUUAAGUAGCUAAUGAGUCAGUGUGUAUUCAUAGAACUUUGAUCAGUGCUUGCAGGGACUAUUUUGUGCUGAGAACAAAGACACCAAAGAGAUAGGGCCACUGGGAGGAAACUGGAGGGAGUGAAAAGGCUACCAUGCAACACUGGAAUCAGGAAAUUCCCAGCCCUAAUAACCAAAGCCAAGUGCAGGGGAGAGCAGCUGGAAAAAAUUCGGAACCACAAACAGGUGAAAAAUGCAAUUCUUAGCAAGGAGAAACACCUUUUAUUUUAGAUUACCUACAUAUUUUCAGUGUACAUUCUUGCCCAAGAAAAGAGGUUCAUUUGAUUCAACAGCUGAAGGACAGCCUGUCAUUCCCCCCUCCCCCAACAGCUGACACUCACUGGAGGGACACCAGAAUCUUCUGCAUCGGAGCAUUACAUCUUACAACAAAAUAUUUAAUUUUAAUUGAAUGUAUUUUCCUAGGAGGAUUGAAAGCACACACUAACCCACCGCUUUCGGGAUGGUAAUUUAUUUAUGUAGGUUUUGUUUAUUCACGACCUAGAUUGACUGAUGUGGUUCCUCCAGGAAUUGCCCCUCCAAAGGCCCUGACAAUAGGUCUUCUGUGGAGGGGACUGCUGGGAGAGCGUUCAGCUUCAGUAAAGGCAGCUUUCAGGGAAAGCAGGAGCUCAGGGUCAGGCUGCCAAGAUUUUAAUGAAUUGCUUCAGAUAUUCUCUCUCAUGGCUUCCACUGUGUUCAGAAAUCUGAAAGAAAAAUAAUAAAUCUGCAUACAAAACACAUGGCAGUUGGACAUAGAAGUUGCUGCACACACAAAUACCUGUUACAUAUUUCUUUUUAAAUGGCUAAGUGCCAUUUAAAAAAUGUGUACAUUUUUUAAUGAAAGUGUUUCUGUAAUAGGUAUUAUUUAAUCUUUUUCCAUCUAUUUCCCUAUGAAAUAAAGUCAUAUAAUGGCUCUGAAAAAAAAUGUUUCAUUUUAGUAAUUUUUUUUUUCCUGAGGCCAGUUAAUGGAAGAUUCCUAUUAGGGAAAAAAGUCAUUGAAGAGGUGAAAAAAUACAGUGUUCCAUCAUGCUUCUGCUUUUAUUCGACUAUGGCUUAUUUUCAGUCAGUUUGGGAGUAUUCACUUCUUUUUUUUUUUUAAUGUUUAUUUAUUUUUGAGAAAGCGCAAGCAGGGGAAGGGCAGAAAGAGGAGGACAGAGGAUCCCAAACAGGCUCUGUGCUGACUGCGGAGAGCCCGCCCAUUAUGGGGCCCAAAGUCAGGAACAGUAGAGGUUAUGACCUGAGCCAAAGUUGGACGCUCAACCAACUGAGCCACCCAGGGGCCCUAAGGGAGAAUAUACUUCUUAAAGCACAAGGUUAAUAAUUUCAGAAACUUUCUUUGCAUUUCUUUAAAUGUAAUCUAAUUUAAAGCCUUUACAUCUUCUGAUAAUUUGAUGUUUUAAAUCCACCCACCCAUGUCAUUAUUUAAAGUUUGCUCUUAACACAAAAAUAAUAGUUUUUUCUAUGGGAAAAAAAAUAAAAGUUUAUUUAUUUAUUUUGAGAGAGAGCGGGGUGGGGGGAACUGGGCAGAGAGGCAGAGAG